GGUAUGUUCUUUCACUUAAAUGUUAUAACAUGCCUGUACAAAUGGAAAGUAAUGGUUGCAGGGGCUGGGCAUCUAGGAUAAAGCAUAUAUUAGAU